rnacentral:rRNA from 1 species
GACGUAGGGCGCGAGCGUUGUCCGGAUUUAUUGGGCGUAAAGAGCUCGUAGGCGGCUUGUUGCGUCAGCUGUGAAAACCCGCAGCUCAACUGUGGGCUUGCGGUCGAUACGGGCAUCACUGGAGUUCGGCAGGGGAGACUGGAAUUCCUGGUGUAGCGGUGAAAUGCGCAGAUAUCAGGAGGAACACCGGUGGCGAAGGCGGGUCUCUGGGCCGACACUGACGCUGAGGAGCGAAAGCCAGGGGAGCAAACGGG